AAUGAACGUUGGCGGCGUGGAUUAGGCAUGCAAGUCGAGCGAGAACCCCGCAAGGGGGGGCAGCGGCGAAAGGGACAGUAAUGUGUAGAUUAUCUGCCCUCAGGUCCGGGAUAGCUGCGGGAAACUGCAGGUAAUACCGGAUAACAUCUCCGGAUCAAAGGUGUGAUUCCGCCUGAGGAUGAGUCUGCAUCCUAUUAGCUAGUUGGUGGGGUAAUGGCCUACCAAGGCAUUGAUGGGUAGCAGGUGUGAGAGCACGACCUGCGUCAUUGGGACUGAGACACUGCCCAGACACCUACGGGUGGCUGCAGUCGAGAAUCUUCGGCAACGGGCGCAAGCCUGACCGAGCGACGCCGCGUGUGGGAUGAAGGCCUUCGGGUUGUAAACCACUGUCAGAGGGGAUGAAAUGCAGGUGGGUUCUCCCAUCUGUUUGACAUAGCCUCAGAGGAAGGACGGGCUAAGUUCGUG
rnacentral:rRNA from 1 species